rnacentral:rRNA from 1 species
UACGAAGGGUGCAAGCGUUACUCGGAAUUACUGGGCGUAAAGCGUGCGUAGGUGGUUUGUUAAGUCUGUUGUGAAAGCCCCGGGCUCAACCUGGGAACUGCAUUUGUGACUGGCGGGCUAGAGUAUGGCAGAGGGGGGUAGAAUUCCACGUGUAGCAGUGAAAUGCGUAGAGAUGUGGAGGAAUACCGAUGGCGAAGGCAGCCCCCUGGGCCAAUACUGACGCUCAUGCACGAAAGCGUGGGGAGCAAACAGG